AAUUGUGGACAAUGGGGGCAACACUGAUCCAGCCAUCCCGCGUGUGCGAUGAAGGCCUUCGGGUUGUAAAGCACUUUUGGCAGGGCAGAAAAGGUUCUGGCUAAUACCUGGAACUGCUGACGGUACCUGCAGAAUAAGCACCGGCUAGUCACGUGCCAGCAGCCGCGGUAAUACGUAGGGUGUAAGCGUUAAUCGGAAUUACUGGGCGUAAAGCGUGCGCAGGCGGUCCGGCAAGAAAGAUGGGGAAUCCCGGGGCUUAACCUCGGAACUGCAUUCUUAACUGCCGGGCUAGAGUAUGUCAGAGGGGGGUAGAAUGCCACGUGUAGCAGUGAAAUGCGUAGAGAUGUGGAGGAAUACCGAUGGCGAAGGCAGCCCCCUGGGAGGAUACUGACGCACAUGCACGAAAGCGUGGGGAGCAAACA
rnacentral:rRNA from 1 species